AAGACUGUACUUUCAGGAAUCAUUUCUCUAGUUUGUUACCGGAGGAGUUUCUCUGAAUGUAUGACACACUAGAAACCAUGAGGAGGAGGAGGCAGAGUUCUUCUCUCCUGAGUGUGAAGCUGGUUCUUGGUGUUGCUACUGCAGCUGCCAUUUUCAUUGGUGUUUGGUCUUGUCCUGCUUUGGGAGAACAAUCCGGAGAGGACAUGAUCUGAGU